AUGACCAAAACCCAAAUACAUCAGUCAGUCAAUUACUCCAUGCAAGCUCGUGGCAUGUCGCAGCAACGCCGCCGCAGCGCCGCCGCCGCCGCGCUGCUGGCGCUGGCGGUGCUGCUGGGGACGUCGCCGCCCGACGCAGCGGCUCAACAAGGUCCGGCCUGGCGGCCCCUCGUGGCGCGUGUCAACAAGGACGCCGCCACCUCCCUCUACACCAUCGCCAUCAAGGACGGAGGAGGGCCGCUCCUCCUCGACCUCGCCGGCCCAAUGCUCUGGGUCGCCAACUGCCCCUGCACGCACUGGGCCAUCGGGUGCGGCGGCAGCCACUGCGACGGCUUCCGCAAUAUGUUCACCCCGGAUGCCUGUGAUAGUGCAGAAUGGCCGGCGCAGGGGCAGGACACGUGCAUCUGCACCGCCUUGCCGUACAACCCGGUCGACGGGCGCUGCGUCGCCGCCCAAGCCACCACCAUCUCGAUCGCUGCCAACACCACGGACGGCAAGAACCCGCUCUCCCCGGUGACCUUCCCCGUCGUCGGGUCCUGCGCGCCGGGGGAUUUCCUGGCCUCGCUCCCGGAGGGCGUGGCCGGCGUCGCCGGGCUCGCGAGGCUGCGUAACUCUCUGCCGUUGCAGGUCGCGCAGUGGUACAGCCUGAAGCAAGAGUUCGCGUUGUGCCUGCCCAGGGGCGGGGACGGCGUGGCCGUCUUCGGCGGCGGCCCGUUCCAGCUCCUGGCCGCGCCGACCGUGGAGCUCGCCGACAGCCUCCGCAAGAAGCCUCUCCCGUUCCUCUUCAACCCCAAAAACCGCGCCUACUACUUCACCAUCACCGGCAUCGCCGUGAACCAGCAGCGCGUGCCCACGCCGCCCGGCGCCUUCGACUUGGAAAGGAGAGGCCAAGGCGGCGCCGCCUUCAGCACCGUCACGCCCUACACCGCGCUCCGCUGGGACGUCUACUGGCCGCUCCGCAACGCGUUCGACGCGGCCACCAGCGGCAUCGCGCGCGCGGACAAGGUGGCGCCGUUCGACAUGUGCUACCAGGCGUCGGAGCUCGCCAUGACCAGCGUGGGCUACGCCGUGGCCAGCAUCGACCUGAUGCUGGACGGAGGCCAGAACUGGACGCUGCCCGGCGCCAGCUCGCUCGUGCAGGUGAACGACCGGACGGUGUGCUUCGCGUUCGUUCAGACGGAUUCGUCGGUGCCGGCACAUGCUGAGUCGCCGGCGGUGAUCCUCGGGGGGCACCAGUUGGAGAAUAACCUGCUGAUGUUUGAUCGGACAAGGACACGUUCGCGUUCAGUGGGCUGCUGCUCGGCAUCGGCACUACCUGCAGCAACUUCGACUUCAGCAUCGGGAGUUCUUAGAAGCAGUAGUGUCACUGAUCUUGCGAGUCGAGCUAGCUAG
rnacentral:rRNA from 1 species